AUUGAACGCUGGCGGCAUGCCUUACACAUGCAAGUCGAACGGUAACGCGGGGCAACCUGGCGACGAGUGGCGAACGGGUGAGUAAUGCAUCGGAACGUGCCCAGUAGUGGGGGAUAGCCCGGCGAAAGCCGGAUUAAUACCGCAUACGACCUACGGGUGAAAGCGGGGGACCGUAAGGCCUCGCGCUAUUGGAGCGGCCGAUGUCAGAUUAGGUUGUUGGUGGGGUAAAGGCCUACCAAGCCGACGAUCUGUAGCUGGUCUGAGAGGACGACCAGCCACACUGGGACUGAGACACGGCCCAGACUCCUACGGGAGGCAGCAGUGGGGAAUUUUGGACAAUGGGGCAACCCUGAUCCAGCCAUGCCGCGUGCGGGAAGAAGGCCUUCGGGUUGUAAACCGCUAUUGUCAGGGAAGAAACGCUUUGGGCUAACACCCCGGGGGUAAUGACGGUACCUGAAGAAUAAGCACCGGCUAACUACGUGCCAGCAGCCGCGGUAAUACGUAGGGUGCAAGCGUUAAUCGGAAUUACUGGGCGUAAAGCGUGCGCAGGCGGUCGUGCAAGACAGAUGUGAAAUCCCCGGGGCUUAACCUGGGAACUGCAUUUGUGACUGCACGGCUGGAGUGCGGCAGAGGGGGAUGGAAUUCCGCGUGUAGCAGUGAAAUGCGUAGAUAUGCGGAGGAACACCGAUGGCGAAGGCAAUCCCCUGGGCCUGCACUGACGCUCAUGCACGAAAGCGU
rnacentral:rRNA from 1 species